UUGCCGUCCGCUCCCGGCGUGCCGCGCGCGGCGGGGCCGCGCUCGGGGCCUGGCGGCGUCAUGGCGGCCGCCGUGCCUCCGGCCCCCGGCCCGGACAUGUUCGAGGAGAUCGUGAUGGCCGAGCACAGGUUUCACGGCGAGGGGUAUCAGGAGGGCUACGCCGAAGGCUGUCACGUUGGAGCUGCCGAGGGAAGGAGGUAUGGAUCGCUCCACGGUGCCAAGAUGGGGUCCGAGAUUGGCAGCUACCUUGGCUUUGCACUGACCUGGCAGUGUCUGCUCUGCAAAUGCACAGAUGAAAAGAACAGUAAAAAGAUAAAGGCUCUGGAUUCGUUAAUAGGAAUGAUUCAGAAGUUCCCAUAUGAAGACCCCACUUACGAAAAGCUUCAAGAAGAUCUGGAAAAAAUCAGAGGAAAAUUUAAACAGGUUUGUUCAAUGCUAAAUAUUCAGUCUGAUUUUAGGGUCAGUACUGAAAGAUCUUCACUAACGUUUUGAGUGUAACAGAUGAAGAUAAACAUGGAUGAACAAAGAAGAAAUAUUAAAAGAACAGAUAACUGGAAAAGUGCUUACUCAUUUUAAACAAAGCGAAGAUCUGCUAAAUAUUAAAGUGUUCAUGCCAGUUUAGUCAGAGCUGAGCAGGUGUAGUCAAAGUCUUACUUGACUGGGCAGUCUUUGGCUUUCAGGAGUUCAGUGGAAGUGUGCACAGCCUGUGUCCCAGGAGCAGACCGUGCACUGCGGGUGGUGCCUCUGCAUCAGGAGGGCACGUGCAGAGUUAAGAUGCUGUGUCUGUGCCUUAUUCCUGAUACACUGCGAGCACCCAGUCUUUCUGCCAGUAGUUCCCUCUUCAGGUAAGAGCACUCAUGAAAAUUAUGGCUACUUAGUGAUUUCUUAGUAUGGCUAUGAAAAUGCUAAUGGGAUCAUCAAGAAACUGUUUGUUUUUGUUAUUGAAUGUCUAUUGUGCUAAAGAAGCAGAAGGGUAACUUCUGCCUUGCUCCUACGUUUGUAUUCCUUGAAUCAAAAGAGCAAAGUCAGAAGUCUGGCAAGCCUUAUGUUAUCAGUGCAAUCCAGUCAAAAAAUUUGCAAUCCCUUUCUCAUUAUUAUAUAAGAAUAUUUUGGGGGAACUCAGUCAAAAGCCAGAUGGGAAUCUUAUAUUUGUCAUGCUGCUGUAACUACCAUUAGCAGGUAUGUUUGACGGAUCAUAAAAACACCAUGUUUGUCUGAAAAGAUGAAUUUCCCAUAAAAUUAUGUUGGUGUGAAUUCGUUAUAAUGCCAUCAUUUAUAGCUUUACGGCCUUUGUCCCAUAGUAGCUUUUCAAUGCCACUGCUAGGAAUCUUUAUCAGAGUAUCUAGCCCACACACCUGGGUCAUUUCUAUGGUCCUUUGAAUUAGUAGCUUGAAACUUCAAUUUCUCUCCUAUGUUAUGAAGUUUUCCAUCACUUAAAAUGCCAAAUACACUUGCCUGUAAGUAAUUUCAGGUUUUUACAUUUAACAGACCUUUUUUAUUGUUUAAUAAAGAAUAUAUGAACUUAAUGUUUAGUAAAGGUACAAGCUUUGUCAGUCUGAAUUCAGCAGUGGAAUUGAGGAUGUUUUUGGGAAAUUUUUGGAGGUUUUUCUACGUAUGUUUCUCAAUCUGAUGUUAAUACAGUAUAUUUGCUUUAAAUGAGCUAGAGCAUAGCCUAGCUGAAUGUGCAUAUUUUUUACAGCCUAUAGUAAAUUGUUUUUCUUGCUACAUUCUUGUCCUGUCCUUUCCAAUGUGAAUAAUAUUGGCACAGUUCACCCAACAUUCAAAUUUAGGAGGCUGCAUUCAGAGAUGGUGUUUCAGAGAAGGAAAAUGUAAAUAACAGAGCUGACUGUAGGCUUAAACCUGUUCAAGGCACAGAAUAACCUGUCAGUUUAAUAGAUUAAAAAUACUCAUAGAAAAGGCAAAAACCACUUAACAUGUUCAACAAAAUGCAGGUUGAAAUUUCUAAUUAUUUUUUUCAGCAAAAAGCUUUUUGUCCCAAAUCAAUAUUGUAUGUAUGUCCUCAGUCAAAAUAUUUGAAAUUAGAAGGGUUGGUCAUCAGUGAUACAAAAGCCUUUUUCCUAUUCUUUCCUUAAAACAUGCUGAAAUUUUGCAGAAGACUGAUAUGAGAUCUGUGUGGGGACAAAAAUGAGUUUUUUGUCCAAUUUAAGCUUCAGCUUGAUCUGUAUUUAAAGUCACUAUAAAUCUCGUUUUAAACCGUCUUUCACUGCUACAUGAAUCUGCUUCAGUGGCCUGCCUGUGUAACUUGACCGUAUAGAGGAGGUGCCCAUGUCUAAUGGACAAAACUAUGGACCCACUAUGUACCAAUAGGAACCUCCCCAUCUGUGAAUUUAGGGUAGGCCAGGUGGUUUAGGUUUCUGACUGAAACGGCUGGGAAAUCAACAAGCUAAUACAGGCUCAGCUGCGAUUCUUCCGAUACAGGGGGCUUCCCGUCUAUUGGUAACUGCACUAGGACAAGCUGAUUUAGCACUAGACUGUGUCCAACAUGCUCGUGUUAACUUACAAGUUUUCAUUUUUCAUUUUGUUUACUGUAGCUAUUGCAUAGAAUCAGUUGUUCUGUGAAGCUCAGCCAGUGGGAAACUCAGAAGGCAGAUAAACAGGUAUCUGAUCUGAGAGACGAGCACUUGAUAUUUUACGUGUAUUUUAUUUUUUAGCCAAUAAUGACAUCACAUUUUCAUAGAGUAAAUAGUCAAUACAUAGGUUAAAAGCUUGACCAUUCACCACGAAGAAUAUGCUGUUUCUGGUGUGUCCAGUUGUUGCAAUUGGUAACAUGCAUUCCAUUUACACGUUUGGGACACAGCUUGUAAGUUUUUCUCAUUUUGUUUUUAUAAAUAAUCAUAUGUAAUUACUGUUAUAUUUUUGUCCUUCUGAAGUCCAGUUCUUUACGUAUGUUUAGUAGCUCUUAAUUUUUUAUUAUCUUAGUCAUGCAACAGUAAGAAGCGUAAGCUCUGUAAGAAGUAAGGGGAAGGAAGAUAAAGCUGUUUAACUUUACUUCUUUUAAAACUAGUUUCUGUUAAGGUAUUCUAGGACACAAAACCUUACACUGAUAAAUAAAUACAGACAAGCAUUCUGUACCAAACACCUACUUUAUUUCACCUUUUAUUAAAAAGAACCACCAAAUGGUAUUUUACUCUGAGUAAUUACCUUAGAUGUUUAAAAUAAUCUUAAGCAAAUACUUGUUUUGCUUUUUUAAAAUACACAUUACCGUGACAGCCAGUCACCUACCCAUUUCUAAAAAACGCCUACACUUUCCUAAAAUAAUGAUAGAAAAUUUUCAGCAUUGCAACUAUUAAAGCACGGAGAGUCAAAAUGAGAAAAUGUCAUGUGGCUUACUCAUUACAUUAGGUAGUUACUGCCAUUCAGCAUUCAUGAAAGUAAUAAAAAGACACAACAAGCAGACACUGGGUUUUACCAAUUUUAUUUCUAGACUUUAGGUUGUUGGUUUUUUUAAGAUUUUUUUUUUGCUGGAAACUUGUCUGUUACAGGUCUGUUGGUGAAAAUGUGCAUUUCAGACCAGUGAUGCCAAUAAGUACAAUAUAAAAAUGUACAAAUCUGAAUUGCUUGCUUACUACAGAUUGUUAUAAUAAUGUGACAAAUAAAGCAUCUCUGUUGGCACAUGAACCCACUUAUCUGGAUUUGGCCUUUUAGUACAUACAAUAUUUAAAGAAUUUUGCAGUACACACUGCCACUCAGUGUAACACAUAAUAUAACUGACAACCACUAACUCAGUAAUCACGUUUGGUUCAGAGACACAGAGAUGCCACGAACAGAAGUGUUUUAUGAGGUAAGCAGUAAAUGUUCCUGAAAUUUGGACAGAAUGUAUCCAGUCCUCCUGGGUCCUGCGACUGCUAGUAGCAUUGCAAUGCUUUGUUUAUGCACUAUGUAGGAUCUUAACUGCAUUUGCCUCAAAGAGUUCUAAUUCUGUUUUGGUUUAGCAGCAUACAGGCAACAGCUAGAUUAUUCUUCAGCAUACAACUCUGUUAGCUGGCUUAUUUAUGAGAUUUACAGGCGUUUUAAAUUAGCAUUAUGCUAUAAUUAAAAAAACAAAACAAAACAAAAAAAACCUAGUAUAUCAUAACAGAUUAAACACACAAAAUACUUAGAGUUCCAGAAGAUAACCUAUCAUACCAAAUGAUGUGUCCCAAUUGAUGGGAAAACACAUCAGGUGGCAUACAAGAGUUAUAUUAUAAUGCACCUUUCAUAUAUCAAUUGUGGCUAAUAACACAGCUUAAAACUACUAUGAUAAUAAAUCCCAGAUCAGACAAAGAAUCCAGCUUUAUAAAAUGCGCAACAACAAAAAAACUGACAUUACUUGAUCUUCUGAAAUGUCUGCCGUUUUUAAAUUAAUGCAACCUAGUUGCAAAUCGCGAGACCCAUUCAGAAUAACGUUCGAUGCAUUUCCAUUUGCAGUAGAACUAUGAGGCACUGUGUACGAACAUUAAAACCUGGUCUAGACACGGUUAACUGAAGUAUGAGGUAUUGUGAAACAGGAACCUUUUUGGAAUAGAGCAGUAAUCACAUUAAGUAAAAAUUGAUCACAUAAAAAAUCUACAAAAAAAAUGAUGUCAAUAAUAUAAUUUUCUAUGAGAAAAUUAAAACCUAUAACAUGGCAGUAUAUGACAUUGUAUAACAAAAAAAAAAAACUGAUCCACAAAAUAGCAGCAAAACACAAUGACAAAGAUACAGAAAAGCAAUGUUAAUUUUUUUUUUCAAACCAUGCUGGGAAUUUAUCCAUAGCAGCUCAAUAAAAAUGGAGCAUCCGCUCCUAUUCUUUUCUCUUUUUCUUUUUUUCUUUCUUUUUUUCUUUUUUUUCCUUUUCUUUUUUCUUUUUUUUUUUUUUUUUUUUACAAUCAACACCUUAGCGGCAGUUUUCUCACAUACAUUUCACCAUCACAUUCUCCUCGAGCAUCAACUUCAACAGCUAUGUCCACGUCCCUUCAGCUACUUCCUAAAAUAAUAAUAAAAAGAUACAUAGCCAAGAUGUGCAAAUUUUCUAUUUGUAGCUAAAUAAAAAAAAAAGGGGGGGGGGGCAUAUACUGGAAUAAGAACUUCUUUCAAGUACUCCAAUUUUCGUAUCUAUUAACUAUGGCGUUUUUUUCAUGGUUAGACUGCUACUGAAAAUGUAUAAGGGGCCAAAUAGACUGCUUUGUUUUGGGUUUGUUCUCUGAAGCGUGUCCUUUUUUCUUUAAUAAGCUGUGUUAAAACUGCAACGUCAAGGGUAGAAAGAUUUUUUUUUAAAAAAGGGGGCGAUUGCAUUAUUUUACAAAUCAUACUGGCCUUACGAACAUCCUCUGCAAUAAAUAUUCUUUUUAGCCUUAACUAUAAAUUAUAUAUUUUAGUGUUUAAAAACCUUCAGUUGUAAAACAUCUAGAGACAAUCCUUAAACUAUGUGUCCUAUAUGUGAACCUUUAAGGCCCCUAAUUUAUAAAAAUGUGUUGGCACCAAAGGAUUUCUAAACUUCAACUUUUCUAUAGAAAAGGAUAGGAAGAUAUCCUGGCAAUUUGUGAAUGCAAUUUCUCUCACUGGAACACAACCUUCGGAAAAAAAAAUCACCUUUCCUCUAACACCAUAGUUAAAUGCACUUGCCUUGCAAUUCCAAGUUUGCGAACAAGCACUUAAUAUAUUUCCAAACCAUUCCAUUAAAAAAAAAAUUCCCACACAAUAAAAGAAUGUAUUUCCUAUAUCUAAUGGACUGAAAGUGCUUUGAAUGGAAUGGUUUUAGAAUAUUACAAACAACAACAAAAAAAGACUAAACUGUGGAUUGAACCUGACCAUAAUUAGGCUGAAUAUCUGUGGGGUCAGACCAGCAUUUUUACACAGGUAACUACAAAAAUAUGAAGAUUACAAAAAUAUAAUAUAUUAUGUCACUAUUUCGGUUUCUCUUUAUAAUAGAGUAUCGUAUGAGUAGUACAUUGGCCUUUCCCAACAAUGCUAAGCUGGAACCCUACAAAUGCACAGGCAAUCCACAGGCACACACACACACACACACAAAAAAAAACAAAAGAUUAACAUAUAAUAAUGCUGUAUACUAACAUACACUAACUUAUGGGUUACGUUAACCAUUUAUAAGGUGAAGAGGAUAAAAAAAAAAACUAAGGAAAUAAAAUAAACAUUUACAGAUGAAUUAUAAAGUGACUAAAUGCAUAAGCAAGCAAGAUACAGAAAAGCCUAGAACUGCGUUAAAGCUAUGCUUUUUAAAGAAAAAAAAAAAGAAUAUUUCAUUUA